rnacentral:rRNA from 1 species
UACGUAGGGUGCAAGCGUUAAUCGGAAUUACUGGGCGUAAAGCGUGCGCAGGCGGUUUUGUAAGCCAGAUGUGAAAUCCCCGGGCUUAACCUGGGAAUGGCAUUUGGGACUGCAAGGCUCGAGUGCGGCAGAGGAGACUGGAAUUCCUGGUGUAGCAGUGAAAUGCGUAGAUAUCAGGAGGAACACCGAUGGCGAAGGCAGGUCUCUGGGCUGACACUGACGCUCAUGCA